rnacentral:rRNA from 1 species
GACGGAGGAUGCAAGUGUUAUCCGGAAUCACUGGGCGUAAAGCGUCUGUAGGUGGUUCGAAAAGUCCACUGUUAAAGAUUGAGGCUUAACUUCAAAAAUGCCGUGGAAACUUUCAAACUAGAGUAUGGUAGGGGAAGAGGGAAUUUCCAGUGGAGCGGUGAAAUGCGUAGAUAUUGGAAAGACCACCGAUGGCGAAGGCACUCUACUGGGCCACAACUGACACUGAGAGACGAAAGCUAGGGGAGCAAAUGGG